ensembl:miRNA
UGUUUCUCUUCAGGUUUGCCACUUCACAGAGAGUUUGUGUUGCUUGAAGUGUGUGAAACUGCAGCGGUGCA